rnacentral:rRNA from 1 species
UACGGGGGGGGGCGAGCGUUGUUCGGAAUUACUGGGCGUAAAGGGUUUGUAGGUGGCCUGCUAAGUCAGACGUGAAAUCCCUCAGCUUAACUGGGGAACUGCGUCUGAUACUGGCGGGCUUGAGGACAGGAGAGGAACGCGGAAUUCCAGGUGUAGCGGUGAAAUGCGUAGAUAUCAGGAGGAACACCGGUGGCGAAGGCGGUUCUCUGGGCAUGUCCUGACGCUGAGGAGCGAAAGUGUGGGGAGCGAACAGG